GGAUGUUAGGUCUCCAACAUCUGGCACCCCAUUGAUCACCAGGGUUGACUUGGCUGGCGAGGUGGGUGUGCCCUGAAGCUGCGUACACACUUGGCCGAGGUGGACAACCACCCCCAAUAGAGGAGGGCUGUUUUCCUCGGUCAUGGGUAUACAUGUAGCUGCGCUUCCCUGCUAGACCCUCCAGACAAGCCCUCAAGACUUAAGUUGCUAAUAUAGUACCGCUAAAGCAGGUGAAAACAACAUCUUUUUGAGGAAUAAUGAUUGGAUUU
rnacentral:snRNA from 1 species